UCCCAUAUAGUAUAGUGGUUAGUAUACUCCGCUUUCAUAUUUCCAUUGAUAUCCGGAGAGUCCCGAGUUCGAACCUCGGUGUGGGAA